UGCCAGCCGCCGCGGUAAUACGGAAGGUCCAAGCGUUAAUCGGAAUUACUGGGCGUAAAGCGCGCGUAGGUGGUUUUUUAAGUUGGAUGUGAAAGCCCUGGGCUCAACCUAGGAACUGCAUCCAAAACUAGAUGACUAGAGUACGAAAGAGGGAAGUAGAAUUCACAGUGUAGCGGUGGAAUGCGUAGAUAUUGUGAAGAAUACCAAUGGCGAAGGCAGCUUCCUGGUUCUGUACUGACACUAAGGUGCAAAAGCGUGGGGAGCAAACGGGAUUAGAUA
rnacentral:rRNA from 1 species